UAGGGAAUCUUCGGCAAUGGACGAAAGUCUGACCGAGCAACGCCGCGUGAGUGAAGAAGGUUUUCGGAUCGUAAAACUCUGUUGUUAGAGAAGAACAAGGACGUUAGUAACUGAACGUCCCCUGACGGUAUCUAACCAGAAAGCCACGGCUAACUACGUGCCAGCAGCCGCGGUAAUACGUAGGUGGCAAGCGUUGUCCGGAUUUAUUGGGCGUAAAGCGAGCGCAGGCGGUUGCUUAAGUCUGAUGUGAAAGCCCCCGGCUCAACCGGGGAGGGUCAUUGGAAACUGGGAGACUUGAGUGCAGAAGAGGAGAGUGGAAUUCCAUGUGUAGCGGUGAAAUGCGUAGAUAUAUGGAGGAACACCAGUGGCGAAGGCGGCUCUCUGGUCUGUAACUGACGCUGAGGCUCGAAAGCGUGGGGAGCAAACAGG
rnacentral:rRNA from 1 species